UCCGGGUUCGAGUCCCGGGCAACCCA
rnacentral:tRNA from 3 species